GUCAACAUUACAGGAGCUUUUUAAUUGAUAAGGUAUGGCUCUAUGAUAUUAUUUACAAACCUGGCAUGAGAAGUGAAGGUGAUUGUAAGGUGCUAAGUUACCACACCAUUAUUGAAUGCUGUAUUACUUUUACAUAAUGUUUAUAUUUCAGAUUCUCCUAUUUUGUGUGCCUGCACAUAAUGCUUCAGGCUGGGAAGAUGACAUAUUUCAGCCUUUAUUUUCAUAUCUGGGAAGAGCAACGAGGAUAAAUAUGGGGGACACCACCGGAAUGCUAGCUUGAAGCCAGAGCGAAACCUGUAAAAGUGAGAAAAGCAAAUACAUGGUGAAAUGACCUUUCUAAUUGUGCAGAGAAUGAACAAACUCAUUACUUGGUUCUACCUGUGAAUGACUAUGGAAAUAAAUAUUUCUACUGAAAUCGAAGGAAUAAAAGGUGAAAAGCUAAAUGCAUGAAAGCAUGGAGGGAGUUGCACUAGGAGUUUCUGAUCAGAUUUCCUUGUAUUUUAAGUUAACAUAGUGAUCAGUGAAAUGGCAGGGUGUUUGAUGUGCUCAGUAGAUGGUGCUGACCAUGCUGGUAACUGCAUUUGUGAGACACAGAAAAUCUGAGGAAAAUACAUGCAUUUACCUACUGGGAGCUUUUUAAAAAAAACUAUGAAUAAAUAAAUGAGGAAGCUGUCAGCUUUCUGAGAGA